UGGAUUAGUUUAGAUAAAUGAGAAGGUGAAAGCAUGAGUGUGAUUAAAUGUAAUCGCGGACUCCGACCACUGUCGCCAAAGAGGGUCGCUGCCUCUAGGGUAGAGCUGGACGCUCAGCCUUGUCUCGCCGCCGCCGGGAGGAAGGCGAUCGGUCCCUCUUCGUUGUCUGUUGACAGGCGGAUUCGAGGCGGACUACAACGACGCCUUGAAGCGUGCACGAAAGCCCAGAAUCGAUCCAAUGUCCUCCAGCUAAAUCUUGUGCAAUUGGUUACUGAUAAGGAAACAAAUCAACCAAGAGGAUAUGCCUUCAUUGAAUAUGUGCAUACACGUGAAAUGACAACUGCAUACGAGCAAGCUGAUGGGAGGAAGCUUGGUAAUAGAUGAGUUCUUGUGGACGUGGAACGGGGAAGAACUGUACCGAAUUUGCGGCCUCGAAGGUUUAGGUGGUGGGCUUGGUACAAUCAGGACAGGGGGUGAGGAAGUUGGGCAGAAGCAUUCCACCAGCAGGGAUCAACAACAACUUGCAUCAGCUCAUUCUAGAUCAGAGGAGCUGAUUCACAAGGGAGAGAGAUCCUAGGAUCAUGGCUAUAUGCAAGUGGUACGAAGAGCCAAGAAAUCAAGAGCAUGAACGUGGCUACAACACUAUGAUCAUCCUCUGCCCCAAAACCUUACUGACUCUGACAACUUGGAGCGGUUAAGGAGACAUGAGACAAAUGCUUACGAGUAGGUGUUCCAUUACAAGUCUCAGCCUGAUUACUGUUAAAAUAUUAAUAUGGGUUAUCCAAUCUUGAUCAACGCGAGAAGGGUGAGGCAGUAGGAGAUGCUGUCAACUUGAUGUAUGGGAUGUGAAUGUUAGUAUAAUUGAGAUUCAACCGCAUUCACAAGUAUUCUGUGCUAUGAUGAAUGGAUCAAACUCCUGACUCCAUCUCUGCUGUGCUGUAACGUGGACUCGUGUUUUGAGUUUGUAUUUUCUUGGACUUAGUUUGUGUUGCACAAAGAGGCAGUAAUAUCUCUCAACUUUUAAUGUAGAAGAAGAGGAGGAAGAGAGAUCGUGUGGAGUAAUAAGAUAAAGAUGAAUAAAAGGAGCAAAUAUGAGAAAGGAGAAAAAAAAAAGUGUUAAUGGU